rnacentral:lncRNA from 1 species
UGGUGGAGCAUCGCUAUCCUGCCAGGGUUCGGUGGAGCAUUGCGUGAAGCGUCUGCGUGUCUGCGAGAUCUUGCUGUGGGCCAGGUAUCCAUUCUCCUGCGGCAGCUUAGACCCUACGGAGACUAGAGGUCCGUGGGUGGUGGAGGAUCCUUUGCGUAGCAAAAAAAGAAGGCGAGUGCCCCUGCAUCCUCUCCAGACGGUACCCAGAACAUCCACCAUUAUUAGAACCAUCACCCUGCAGCUAGCUUGGACAUCCUUAAAAGGGCUCAUCAGAAGUAUCUGAUAUUCAUGAAGACAGAGUUUCAGGGUUUCUGCCUGGAGCUACACCCUCCAGGAGCCCCUGCUUGGCUUCCCCUGCACCCAGCCCCAUCCCAACCUGUUACAACUUGGGCUGUGCAUGGUGUUUCUUGGAAACUGGAACACAGACUCCUCCGACUGCUCUCCAGGCCCUUUGUCCUCAAUGAGCAGAAGACCACAGAAGCUGGCUACUGAAGAGGCUGUCCAGAUAGCAGAGCACCUCACUGGCCUUGCUUAGCACCUUUGCUACAGAGCAAGCUCUGAGUGCUCACCACCUGCAGGGACUACAGCGAGAUUUGUCAGGCCCCCACUUCACUAAGGGCCACUCUCUAGUGAGCCCUCUGGAGAAGGCUCCACUAAAAAAAACGUGGUCAUCAUAGCGUUUGCACUGCCUCGAGUCCUAUCUGAGCACCUGUAGGGCUGCAGACAUCAGUAGCCCGUUACCUAGCUCUAAUCCAUAUCCUAAGUAGAAAACUGUGUACUAUUUUUUUUCUCUCCUUCUGGUGAGAAGAGUUUUAAUUAUUGAUUCAGUCCCAUCAGUAGUUGUAGUACUAUUAAGAAUUUAUUUUUCCUCUUGAGUACAUUUUGGAUAUAGUUUCUUAGGUAUUGGACCAUUUUGUCUGUGUUUUCAAAUUCACUGACAUCAAGUUCCUGUUUUGAAAGUCUCUGCUCUAUCUAUUCUGUAGCUAUGUCUCCUUUUUCACUGCUAAUACUGGUUAUUUGUGCCUUCUCCCUUUUCUUCUUGAUCAAUCUCAGCAGAGGUUUGUCUAUUUUAUUAGUCUUUACAAAGAACCAACUUCUGGCUCUGCUGCUCCUCUCGAUUGUGUCUUUGUUCUCUAUUUCUUUAAUUUCAGCUCUGAUCUUUUUUGACCUCCUUCCUUCCACAUUCUUUGGAUUCAUUCUGUUGCUCUUCUUCUGAUUUCUUCAAUUGUAUGUGGAGCUCAUUCAUUUUCAGUCUUGCCUUUUUGUUUUCCUUGUUUUGUUUUCCUGUUUGUUUCCUAUAGCUCAGACUCACCUCAAGCUCACAAUGAUCUUUUCCCUUACCCUCCCAAGUACAGUGAUUACAGAUGUGAGGCGCUGAACCUAGCUUUCAGCCUCUCGUUUUCUAAUUUAUAUAUUUGAAAGCUAUAAAUUUCCCACUAAUACUACUCUCAAACAUGACCAUAUACGGUAAUAAUUUCAUUGUUCAGUUCCAAGUGCUUCAGUAUAUCUAUUAUUAUUGCUUCUUUGACUCAUGAAUUAUACAGAGGUAUGUUUUUAAGUUCCCAAAUGUUUGGGGGAUUUUAAGUUUGUUCUUUUAUUGAAUUCUAUCCUAUUAUGUUCAGAUGAUGUGGUCUAUGUAGUAACUCUGAAGUUUAUUGAGACUUGUUCUAUUGCUUGGUACACAAUUGAUAAUUAUUAAUGUUUCCUAUGUGCUCUAUAAGAAUGUAUGUCCUCUGAUUAUUGAAUAUAGAAAUCUAUGUGUGUCUAUUAGCAACUAUCUUAUUCAAAUUAUAUUUAUCUAAACUGAUUGCUUUUGUUAUGAUCUACCAAGAGUUUUUAUAGUUAACUCUGACAGUGGGGUUCUCUGUUUUCUUCUUAUAGUUUCCUUUUUUAACAUAAAUUAAGAAUUGUUAUAUUUCUUGUAAAAGUGUAAUAUCCUUCUCUAUUCCUGAUGAUAGAGGAAUUAUGCCAGGUUAUCUUGUAUUAAUGUAACAGCACAAGCUUUUCUUCUUGUUAGGGUUUGGUGGUAUAUAAUUUUCUAUCUUUUUACUUUUAAGAAUUUUUUACACCUUUGUGUUUUAAUUAUAUUUCUUGAAAACAGCAUAUGGCUGGACUUUUUUAAAAAAAAACAAACAAACAAACUAAUCUUGGGCUGGGCGUGGUGGUGCACGCUUAUAAUCCUAGCACUUGGGAGGCCGAGGCAGGUGGAUCUCUGCAUUUGAGGCCAGCCCAGUCAACAUAGUGAGUUCCAGGCCAGCCAAAGCUAUACAGUGAGACCCUGUCUCAGAAAAAAAAAAAAAAAGUUUAUCUAAUGACCUCUGCCUUUAAAACUUAGCAAGUUUUGUUUACAUUCCCUUCAGGGUGUUUGCAAUUGUUUCUACUAUUACUUUCUUAUUUUGACUUUCUGCUACUUUUUUCUAUGCUUCCUUUUCUCCUUUUUCACCUGCUUUUUUGUUUUUGUUUUGUUUUUUAGUUUUAAGGUUUUUUUUUUCUAUUUUCUACUCUUUGGUUAUCCUUGACAUUCUACCAUGAACUUACAAAGUUCAAACAAUAUUUUCAGUGUUCUUGAAGAGCGCAGGAUGGUGAGAAACCUGAUUUUAGUCAUUCCUCUGCUCAGCACUUGAUUUUGUUUUCAAGUAUAUGAAUUUAUUCCUUGUUUUUUGCUUGUUUGUUUGUGAUCUCAGAGUUAUAUAUGAUCGGUAUUGUUUAUUAUAGACAGGCAGUAUUUGUUCGGCUGCACAUGCAUACAUUCUUGCAUCUCAGACUCCCCCCCCCCCUUAUGGCAUUAUUCUCUUUCCUUAUGAAUAUAGUGUUUGUCUACUGUUUUAGUUCAGCUCUCCAGUAUUAAAUUCCCCAAAUCUUUGCUGUGAGUUAAAGGCUUUAUCUUCAUCCUUAGGAGAGUUUGCUCAACCUUUAAAAUACGUGUAUAUGCCUUGUUGCCUUUAAAAAGUACAUCACCAGUCUAAUUGUGGUUUGCUUUCAUUAGGUUAGUGAGUGGGGUGCACAAGGAAUACUGCGCUUUCAUUCUAACGUGUUUAGACUUGUUACUUUUUUAUUUAUUCUGCUUUUGAAAUGUGUUUCAUGACUUAGUAGAUGCACUUUUUUAUAAUUUCUGGAAAGUUCUCAACUAUUAAAGUCUUUCUGGUUUAUUUUUUUCCUCAAAAUCCAACUGCCCAUAUUUUGUGCCUCCUAAUUAAUUCUGUUUUUCAUAACUCCUAACAACUCUUUGAUAUUUUCUGUCUCCUUGUACUUCAUUUGGGGACAUUUCAUCAGGUAUAGGUUUUAGUUUAUUCUCUUCUCCAGCUAUGUUUAAUUUGCCUUCUACUUUUUCCAUUGAGUUUAUUUUGUGUUUUUCUUUGUAAAAGGUUCGUUUACUUUCUAGUCUUUCUGAUCCCUAAUUAAGUCAUUUGUUGCUUGCUCAAAUUGUGAUUACAUCUACUACUUCUUUAAGUAUAAUUUUUGUUAAAUCAGAAUUCACUUUUUUGUGUAUGGCAUUGUAAAUAUUGUUCACAUCUGAACUACACAGCACACUGACUAUAUCAUCUCUACUGCUUUUUGUUUUCCUAAAAUUCAGUGUUCUAGGAGGUUUUUUUUUUUCUUUUCCUAGUGUUGUAGCACUUGCUACUAAUUCUCAGUAAUUCUAUAAGAGUUAAAAAUUCUUCUUAGAAAUUAUUUGUGGAAUCCAAAUCAGAUCAUACCCCUAGCCUGCUCAAAAUUCUCCCAUGACCCCCAAUUCCUUCAGUACACUAGCCAGAAUCUUCUCCAUGGACUAGAUGUUCCUACACAGGCUAGAUCCUGUACCUCCUUCAUCUUGUUGCUAUCACCCUCACUCUUCUCUAGCUAUCCUGGCCUUUUUUUCCUAUUCCUCAAGCAUGCUAGGGACCUUCCACCUGCAGGACUUCUGUAUUUCCUGUUUUUCCUACCUGAGACAUCCUUCUUCCUAAAUACUUUGAUGACUUAACUAAGUCUUUCUAUUAUGUUUUUCCUAGAGAAGUAUUUCCUAACUAACAUAUAUAAAACAGCCCUGUCCAUCUCCAUGUUGUGUCAUAUCCUAUUUUAUGUUAUGUCUUCUACAAAGCACUGAUCACUAUUUGAUAAAUCUUUAUUUAUUGUGGUUAGUGUUUGUUUCUACCAAAUAAGCUGUAAGCUCCUCAAAGCAGAGAUUUCUGUGUUGUUUACUGCUGUAACUCCAGUGUCAAGAGCAGUGUGUAAUAAUAUUCAGUGAAAACUCAAUAAAAUAUUUGUGGAAUAAAGUGAA